rnacentral:rRNA from 1 species
CUUGACCGUGCAAAGGUAGCAUAAUCAUUUGUCUCUUAAAUGGGGACCUGUAUGAAUGGCUUUUCAUUCUCUAGCUGUCUCCCUUCUUCCCCCUUUAAACUUCUAUUUACGUGAAGAAGCGUAAUUUUGACAGAAAGACGAGAAGACCCUGUCGAGCUUCAGCUAAACCUAAGUCCCACUACAUUUCCUCUCAGAGAAAAAGUAAAGUCCUUAGAACAAGCUUUGGUUGGGGCAACCAUGGAGUAAAAACAGCCUCCAGUUUUUCAGGUAGAAAACUAUUCUCCUAAAUAUACACUUUUAGAACCAAAAAUUUUGGAAAACGGAAAAAGUUACCGCAGGGAUAACAGCGUUAUCUUUUCUGAGAGCCCUUAUGGACGAAAAGGAUUGCGACCUCGAUGUUGGAUUGGGGUAACCAGAGGGUGCAGCAGCUCUCCAAGGUUGGACUGUUCGUCCAUUAAUUCCC